rnacentral:rRNA from 1 species
GAUGAACGCUGGCGGCGUGCCUAAUACAUGCAAGUCGAGCGAACAGAUGAGGAGCUUGCUCCUCUGACGUUAGCGGCGGACGGGUGAGUAACACGUGGAUAACCUACCUAUAAGACUGGUAUAACUUCGGGAAACCGGAGCUAAUACCGGAUAAUAUAUUGAACCGCAUGGUUCAAUAGUGAAAGACGGUUUUGCUGUCACUUAUAGAUGGAUCCGCGCCGCAUUAGCUAGUUGGUAAGUUAACGGCUUACCAAGGGAACGAUGCGUAGCCGACCUGAGAGGGUUAUCGUCCACACUGGAACUGAGACACGGUCCAGACUCCUACGGGAGGCAGCAGUAGGGAAUCUUCCGCAAUGGGCGAAAGCCUGACGGAGCAACGCCGCGUGAGUGAUGAAGGUCUUCGGAGCGUAAAACUCUGUUAUUAGGGAAGAACAAAUGUGUAAGUAACUAUGCACGUCUUGACGGUACCUAAUCAGAAAGCCACGGCUAACUACGUG